rnacentral:lncRNA from 1 species
AUUCUUUUUCCUGGAUCUGUGCUUCGGAAUUCUCCAAAGAAGGUUUCUCCGCUUCCAUUCUAGCGGAAGAAGGCAAGAAAUUUAAAUUUCUGUAUGCCAAAUCCCAGCAACUGUUUUCAAUAUUGAGACAUACUGCAUCAGCUUCCCGCUUGGAGAACGUGCUUUCUUCUUUAUGGAGUCUAGUUUUCUUCUUCGUGUGGCUUGUCCAGUUGAUGCAACCCCUCUAACAUUGCCUUGUUGCUUGUGAGCAAAAACAUUUCGAAAACAAUGCACUUGCUGCUAGAUGGCUGCCAGAUUGAAAAGCAGCUGCUGACACCAUCUGCACGAGGUGGAAUGGAAACAGAAGCAAGGAAAGAGCAGCUGAAGCCUGGACGUCAUUUUAAAAGGUAUGAGUUGAUUUAUGAAGUGAGAUGGAAUUACUGGGUUAGAUGGAACAACCGCAGUAAGUCCUCCUUUGCCCUAAAACUGCUGCAACUUCCCUGUGUGGUGUCUGCUUUGUUUUGGGGUGAUCCCCCUCAAAGCUUUUUAUGUUUAGUGGCACUGAGCUUUUCAGCAAGAAUGUGUUCUGCUUCUGGGCCGUCUGUUGGAGGUGGCCUGGCAGACAAGGCUGCUGAAACAGGAGGAGGAAAAAAUUGUCAUCGAGUGUCUACAGGUGAGCGAACGUAGCAGGUGAGCAGUUCCGCUUCCACCACCAAAAACACUUUCUCCUGGAGAUAGACCGCUAAAUGAAAGGGAGGAAAUGCUGAGCUUCAAGUCCCCUAGGCUAGAGUGCACUCCCGUGCAUUAAAUCCACGUGAAUUUACUUUCAUGUCGAGUAACUUUAAUAAAUAUUUGAUGACCUAGAAGCA